CCUACGGGUGGCAGCAGUGAGGAAUAUUGGUCAAUGGGCUUACGCCUGAACCAGCCAAGUCGCGUGAGGGAAGACUGCCCUAUGGGUUGUAAACCUCUUUUGUCAGGGAGCAACGCCGGCUACGUGUAGCCGGACUGAGAGUACCUGAAGAAAGAGCAUCGGCUAACUCCGGGCCAGCAGCCGCGGGAAUACGGAGGAUGCGAGGGUUAACCGGAUUUAUUGGGUUUAAAGGGUGGGUAGGCGGAAGUCCAAGUCAGCGGUAAAAGCGCGGGGCUCAACCUCGCUCCGCCGUUGAAACUGGCGUUGUUGAGUGGGCGAGAAGUAUGCGGAAUGCGUGGUGUAGCGGUGAAAUGCUUAGAUAUCACGAAGAACUCCGAUUGCGAAGGCAGCUCACUGGACUGCAACUGACACUGAGGCUCGAAAGUGUGGGUAUCAAACAGGAUUAGAUACCCUGGUAGUC
rnacentral:rRNA from 1 species